CCUACACUUUACUUCAAGAGAUAUUUAUAUUCCAUUGAGAUUAAAGUAAAUUAAAGAUAAUAUUAAACUUUUAGAUAUAACCUACCAGUGUAAGGGUUUUUCUAAAGUAAACAGCAUUUUAAAUCUCCAUGGUAACCUGUAACGAUGUAAAAACUUUAAAUCAUUACAAGCAAAGGAGAGCGGUCAUUUCUGAAGAUCAAAUCUGAAGAGAAUAGCACGAAAAACUUAAGCGGCUCACGAACUUACAACUUUUGACGGCUUCAUCGUAAAUAAAACCUCACCAGACGACCAAGGACUCCGACAAACACCUCUAACCAACACCUGAACAGAGAGGACAACAUCUACUACAUGGAGACCGUAAGAUUUCAUGACAAUAUUAUCAUACAAACUUGUGUUACUGUCGAGACUUUCGUGAUGGUUAAGCGAUGCAUCGACAAGGAUUAAAUGUGUGCAUAGAUAUUUACAGUGUUUAUGACGUUAAUGUGACAGGCAUUAUCAAAACUAGAAAAAAUUGCAUUUCCUUGCAGAAAAUGCGUGGAAAUGCUGAGUGCUGGAAGCUGAAAAAGCAAUGCUAAACUGUUAAAAAAAAAUGGAGGAAGGUUUAAAUGUAAACUUGGUUAAAGAGCUGGAGAAAGAAAAGUAGAAGUUAGAUGAAAGUGAAAAUUGCUGAAGUACAAAUAGUAUGAAUGUGCUUCAUAAAUUAAAAUUGCAUUCAUGCUAAAUAAGGCUAGAAAAACUGUCUGAAAUUGCAAAAUAAUUGUAUAAGGAAGAAAAUUACCUUAAUACACAGAAAAGUAAGAAGCGGCAUAAGUUUAAGUUGAAGUACUAGAAGAAGUAUGAUAAUAGGUAGUUGUAUUAGUGAUAUUAGUAGUCAUGUAAGCAGUAGAAGUAGUUUUAGAAUAGAAGAAGCAGUAGAGCUCGUGGUAGAAGUAAGAGUAGAAGUAAAAAAAAAUAUUAAGAGAAGCAAGAGCAGUGGAGGUAGAAGUGAAGAUACAAGUUAAAAUGAUAUAAGUAGUAAUUGUAGUGGUAGAACUGGGAUUUUGUUUGAAGAAUUAAAACAUACAUAAAUAAUGGGAAUGAUUUUGAAGUGGGAAACAUUUUAAAUAAUUAGAAGUCCUAAAGUGUUAAAUAGGUUUUAAGUAUCAGAAAGGUUUGAAUCAGUUUGAAUGAGUUUGGAUUUGUCUGAUGUGGUAUCUGGAGUACUACAUCACUAUGUACAAAUACUAUGGUAAGGAAACAUUGAGCUCAGUGAGAAGAGGUGUGCUGAAGUUUGAGUGUGUGAGAGAAGCUUUUGUUGUGUGUGUGUGAGAGGAGUGUGUGUAUGGGUGCUGAGCUGUGAGUGUGAGUGCAAAAGAGUGUGUGCAGUGAGUGGUGUGUGCACAAAGUUGGGGAAUGGUCUAGCAUAAGUAUAAGUGAUUAACUUAUGAUAAAGUGAUAAAUGAUUGCUUAUUAAAUAUAUAAUGAUAUGAUAUAAAAAAUUAACAUAUAAGGGAAGAGAUACUGUUGCCUUUGUAAUGUUAAAACCAUAUGAGCCCUGUUUUUCUUUGUACAGGGACGUUAAUAGAAUAAGUAACUGCUAUGAGCCUCUCAGGAUAAAGAGGACAUUUGUACACCUAAUAGUAAGAAAUGAGCCCCUUAUUAGAUGAGGAGGACUUUGGAAUAAGAAUAAGUAAAUAGAAUAAGUUAAUAGAAUAAGUAACUGCUAUGAGCCUCUCAGGAUAAAGAGGACAUUUGUACACCUAAUAGUAAGAAAUGAGCCCCUUAUUAGAUUAGGAGGACUUUGGAUGGUGAUAACAUCCUUGACUAAUAUUGCAAUGAAAGAAGUGUAAAAACCAGCAAGCACAUUUGUCUUCAUACAGAUACAGGAAAAAACAGAGUAAGAGAGUGGGGUAAAAUAGAGUGAUUUGCUAACUGAUGGGUAUGGUUUUCCUCUGUGUGUGUGUGUGAAUAUUUAAAGUGAAUGGUCACUUGCUGAUGAUUAUGUUUAGAGGGAAGUCCUAGUUAAAGAUUAGGAGAAUCCAGGGAACUUUUUCUCCCGCUUUCUUUCUCUUCUUACAGGCCUGAGAACAGAAAGAAAGCCAAAACAUCUAGUUUAACUAUCCUAGUUGUGUGAAAAUUUUAAAUGAUAUACCGUGAUAAGGGGAAUGGUGUAUAAUAAAUUUAGGUAGUCUUAUGGUAUAAGAAAUCUUUCAAUAGUGGUAGGAAAUGUUGUUUUCAAGUGUAUUGAGUGAAUUAAACAUUUGAUUUGUUCUUUGUCCCUAACUCUGAUGCAUGAGAGGGGAGAGGAGAAUGAAAGGCAUCUGACGCUGGAGCACCCAUAAGACAGAUAAGAAGAUUAUUGGCUGUGCUGCAACAAGAGGGGGCUUGCGGAUGAGAGGCUCACCAGGUCCAGCUCCCAUUUGACAGGCCAGUAGAGUUUUAUCUACAAACUCUUCUCCUAUGUGUCUGCUGCUACUUAGUUGUACAUACACAUUUAUAGUGGGAACACAUUUAGUUGGGUGUAUAUAUUUGUUAGUGCUAGACAAUAAGAGCAGUAGUUUUGUUGGUAAAAAGAAAGGCUUGGCAUUAGACUGACCAGUUGAAAGGGCUGAUUAAGUACCGGAUUAUUGUUGAAUUAAAAGAGCAUUUCCAAGAGGUCUAAAUUUUGCUGAAACGUGUGGAUGUGGUUUGUCAUUGCUGCUUGGUAAAAUCACACAGAUUGAUCUUUUUUGGGUGUUGAUAAGUUUUUGGUCUCAGGGGAGGCUUCAUGAGAAGCACUAAGGGACAAUCGCGCCCACUCAGAGGACAUGUAAACCCUGAUAGGGGGCCAGAACCUGGAUUUUAGGGGUGCCCAGAAGACCUAAAAGGGGGAUGUCAGCUGGUAGUGUCAGGGCCAGAACAAGAGCCAACCAUUGAGGUGAAAGUGAAUGAUAAACCAUUAACAGUUAUGGCAGAUUGCGGAGCUGCCUUCACCUGUGUUAGGCCCAAAGAUGCUAUACAUCUCCCCAUGUCUGGCCAAUUGGUACGGACAAUAGGUUUUGAGGGUGUGAAACAGCUGAUACCUCUUACAGAACCCGUUGAGCUCUGCUAUAAAAAUCAAAAGACCACAAUACCGAUACUAGUGUCAGAACAAACACCUAUUGCACUUUUGGGCAGAGAUGCUUUGUGUAGGUUGAAGUGCACAAUACGAUGCACACCAGACGGCUGUCUGGUGGAUGUACCAAGUGAUAGUUGGCAACAACUAUUUAUGAAAACAGAGACUGAAGCGUCUGCAGUGUUUUGGAUUGGGAACCUUAGCCAGGAGUUGCUAGAGCCAGCAAAGCUGUGGGAGAAAUUUAUUGUGGCCAAUAUGACUGAGGUGAAGUUACCUGAGUAUCCAGACCACUGUACACUGAAGUAUUUUAAAGAUGCUACACAGACCAACUCAGCAGACUGGUUGAAGCAACAACCAAAACAAGUCCAGCUUAGCUCCAGUUCAAUAAUUUGGGGCCACAAGGAGCAGCUAUGAAGAUAGAGAGUAAUGAAUAUCUUGAAAAAGAACAUGACAUCGAAGAAAGCAUUCCUCACGUGACUUUGAUGGUGGCCGAGACCUAUGAACAGAAGCAUAUAGGCUCAAUGAUGGUAGAAGCAGAGAAAGCUAUUUUCACACCAGUUAAGGAAAAUCCUGCUAUUUGGGUGAGUGAGGAUCAGCAGUUCAUAAGGAUUGUUAUCUCUGCUCACGUACAGGGUCAGCCACAAGCUGUACAGAUGACACAUGAGUCAAUUUGCAGUGCUAAACUUGACUCAGACGCUAUAAAAGAAGACACGCUACAACACGUGCCAGAACAUCUGUGGUCUCGAUAUAGCACUGGUAUUGGACUGAAGGAAUCAGAGAGAUAUUCAAAACUACGGUCAGACUUGCAAGCCCUUCCACUUCAGAAAGCAGAUGUAGAGUAUUGGACUUAUGGGUCGUGUUAUCGGAUUGGAGACAAAUUGAGCGCUGGCUAUGCAGUUGUAAAAGCUGAAGGAGAUGGAUUUGUUGUCGAAAAGGCAAAAACAGUGCAACAACCAGCAUCUGCACAGCUGGCUGAACUUGUAGGACUAACUGAGGCAUGUCUUUUGGCAGAGGACAAACAAGUGACAAUUUACACAGACUCUGCAUAUGCACAUAAUGUUUGUCACUUGUUCGGAGCACUGUGGAAAAAUCGGGGAUUUAAAAAAAAAAAAAAAAAAACAGAUGGGUCUCCUAUACAGCAUCAUGCCCAGAUAACCAAAUUGCUGCAUGCAAUGAUGAAGCCGAAAGAAAUAGCAAUAGCUAAGUGUGCAGCACAUAAAGGGGACAUGUCAAGAGUAACUCAGGGCAACAGAGCAGCUGAUGAGGCUGCAAAAGCUGUUACUGUAACGGGUAUUGACUGGACCCAAUUGCAGCACAAACAAGCAGGUUCACUUUAACAACAGUCUUUAUUGAACACCAAAUCCAAUGAAGCAGCAGAGUAUAGCAGGUGGAUAUGGCAGGAUUCGAACUCGGGUCUUCCGGGUGAUAGGCGAGCAGAUUAGCAGUGGACCACAGGUCAGGAAAGAGUUUUGGACUCGUGAGCAGGGAAUUGUCCACAGUCUUAAUUUGCUCCACGAGUGUAGUGAAGGGGAAAAUGCUCAACUCACAGCUGGAGGAAGAUUUCUUGGAGAGUGGUUCAGGUGAGGACUGGGUGAGGAUCCAGAGCUUGCAGAGGAGCUGGCAGAACCAACGUCGGCAGAGGAGGUGAGUUGGCGAGGUGAAGCUGACGAGAAGGGGGAUCUCAACAGAGCAGGAACAGGCUGAGUGCCAUUCAGCCGCAGGCAGACGAAUAGCAGGAAACAGGCAGGCAAAGCUCGUAGUCAAGGACAGAAGGCAGGCAGGUUUACCGGGGCUGAGGCGAGAAGCAAAGGUCAGGGGCAGAUCAGGUCGAUACCAGGUAAGCAGUCCGGGAAUUAACGCUGGAGAGUCAGGCAUGAGAGCGAAGACAAUCUGGCAAAGAGUGAGGGGAAAGAAGCUGCAUAUAUACUGGCCUGAUUGGAGAUGAUGAGCAGGUGAGAGCAGCAGGUGGAAGCAGUUAGCUGAUGAGGGGUGUGGCUGAGCAGCAGAGCAGGAGAGGGGCAGAGCAGACUGUUACAGUUACAGGGGCAGAUAAAGAGGGCAAAGUUCUUCUGAUCACUCAUGAAUUAGACUUAGAAGAUAAAAUCACCCUCAAAGACAUAGUCUCAAUGCAAGAAGCGGCCUCUGAAAUAGACAAACAUCUCCUUAUAUUUAUCUCUAUACAAUAGACACACUCAAGGAUGAGAGUGAAGAUGAUGAGCAGCCGAAAGAAGAAGAGAAGAUGAGAACAGCAGCAAAGAUGGUGAACAUGGACAAGAGUUUCCGGGCAUGAAGGUACACUGACUGCAUCCUUUGUUCUUUUCUUUCAGAAUGUAAUCACUUCUUAAAGAUUGGUCUCUACAUACUUUGGUGGAUAUCUGUUAAAGGAUAUUGUAUUUUAAUAUUUUUGUCUUUUCAUUAUAGUUUAACAAGUGUAAGAGUGGCCUCCUAACACAGCAGUUAUCCAGCUGGUGACUGAAAAGGACAGAAGAAACUCUGGAAGGAGAGCAGCCAUGUUGACACGGAGGCUGCACCACAUUUUGCACAUGCAAAUAAAUUAUGAC
rnacentral:lncRNA from 1 species